UUUUAACUCAACUAAGUUGGUAAAGAAUCUGCCUGCAAUGCAGGAGACCCUGGUUCGAUUCCUGGGUUGGGAA
rnacentral:tRNA from 1 species